CCUACGGGUGGCUGCAGUGGGGAAUAUUGCACAAUGGGCGCAAGCCUGAUGCAGCCAUGCCGCGUGUGUGAAGAAGGCCUUCGGGUUGUAAAGCACUUUCAGCGGGGAGGAAGGCGUUAAGGUUAAUAACCUUGGCGAUUGACGUUACCCGCAGAAGAAGCACCGGCUAACUCCGUGCCAGCAGCCGCGGUAAUACGGAGGGUGCAAGCGUUAAUCGGAAUUACUGGGCGUAAAGCGCACGCAGGCGGUCUGUCAAGUCGGAUGUGAAAUCCCCGGGCUCAACCUGGGAACUGCAUUCGAAACUGGCAGGCUAGAGUCUUGUAGAGGGGGGUAGAAGUCCAGGUGUAGCGGUGAAAUGCGUAGAGAUCUGGAGGAAUACCGGUGGCGAAGGCGGCCCCCUGGACAAAGACUGACGCUCAGGUGCGAAAGCGUGGGGAGCAAACAGGAUCAGAUACCCCUGUAGUC
rnacentral:rRNA from 1 species